rnacentral:rRNA from 1 species
AUUGAACGCUGGCGGCAUGCCUUACACAUGCAAGUCGAACGGUAACAGGUUAAGCUGACGAGUGGCGAACGGGUGAGUAAUGUAUCGGAACGUGCCCAGUAGGGGGGGAUAACUAGUCGAAAGAGUGGCUAAUACCGCAUACGACCUGAGGGUGAAAGCGGGGGACCGUAAGGCCUCGCGCGAUUGGAGCGGCCGAUAUCAGAUUAGCUAGUUGGUGGGGUAAAAGCCCACCAAGGCGACGAUCUGUAGCUGGUCUGGGAGGACGACCAACAAGCCUGGGACUGAGACACGCCCCAGACUACUACGGGACGCAGCAGUGGGGAAUGUUGGACAAUUGACGCAAGUCUGAGCCAGCCAGGCCGGGUGCGGGAAGAAGGCCUUCGGGUUGUAAACCGAUUUUGUCAGCGAAGAAACGAGUUUCUCUAAUACAGGGACUUAAUGCCGGUACCUGAAGAAUAAGCACCGGCUAACUACGUGCCAGCAGCCGCGGUAAUAC